rnacentral:rRNA from 1 species
UGCAUAAAACAUAUGGGUGGAUGUCGUGUUCACACAUGCAGUCGAACGGACCUUCGGGUUAGUGGCGGACGGGUGAGUAACACGUGGGAACGUGCCUUUAGGUUCGGAAUAGCUCCUGGAAACGGGUGGUAAUGCCGAAUGUGCCCUUCGGGGGAAAGAUUUAUCGCCUUUAGAGCGGCCCGCGUCUGAUUAGCUAGUUGGUGAGGUAACGGCUCACCAAGGCGACGAUCAGUAGCUGGUCUGAGAGGAUGACCAGCCACACUGGGACUGAGACACGGCCCAGACUCCUACGGGAGGCAGCAGUGGGGAAUCUUGCGCAAUGGGCGAAAGCCUGACGCAGCCAUGCCGCGUGAAUGAUGAAGGUCUUAGGAUUGUAAAAUUCUUUCACCGGAGACGAUAGUGACGGUACCCGGAGAAGAAGCCCCGGCUAACUUCGUGCCAGCAGCCGCGGUAAUACGAAGGGGGCUAGCGUUGCUCGGAAUUACUGGGCGUAAAGGGCGCGUAGGCGGAUCGUUAAGUCAGAGGUGAAAUCCCAGGGCUCAACCCUGGAAACUGCCUUUGAUACUGGCGAUCUUGAGUAUGAGAGAGGUAUGUGGAACUCCGAGUGUAGAGGUGAAAUUCGUAGAUAUUCGGAAGAACACCAGUGGCGAAAGGCGACAUACUGCUCAUUACUGACGCUGAGCGCGAAAGCGUGGGGAGCAAACAGGAUUAGAUACCCUGUAUCCACGCCGUAAACGAUGAUGCUAGUUGUCGGGCUGCAUGCAGUUCGUGACGCAGCUACGUAUUUAGC